CACGUAGGGCGCAAGCGUUGUCCGGAAUUAUUGGGCGUAAAGAGCUCGUAGGCGGUCUGUUGCGUCUGCUGUGAAAACCCGGGGCUUAACCCCUGGCUUGCAGUGGAUACGGACAGACUAGAGGUAGGUAGGGGAGAAUGGAAUUCCCGGUGUAGCGGUGAAAUGCGCAGAUAUCGGGAGGAACACCGGUGGCGAAGGCGGUUCUCUGGGCCUGACCUGACGCUGAGGCGCGAAAGCGUGGGGAGCAAACAGG
rnacentral:rRNA from 1 species